UCGGGAGAUCGUCGUGUCGAGGGGCGGCAUUUGGAGAGUUCGUCGGCAGGCUUUGUUGUUGAGGGCGAUGGACGAGACGCAGAAUUUGGUACGAGGAGUUUGUUGCGCUUGUUCCGCGGUCGAGAACCUCGCGUUUGGUCUCCUCGUGCGAGUAUCUGCUUCUCGUCCGUCGUCGACUUGUUCGGCUGCAAAGCAGGCGGUUUCUGGGAUUCGUUCUCCUCCCGAUUCGAUCACGAUGCUCGA